rnacentral:rRNA from 1 species
CAAUAGCGUAUACUAAUGUUGUUGCAGUUAAAAAGCUCGUAGUUGAACUUCUGGUAGGAGUGUCCCGGCCUUUUUGUUUUUACAAAUUGUAUGCUGUGUGACAUCUCUGGCCAUCCUUCUUCUUUGUUUAAAGAAGAUCUUUCACUGUAAAAAAAUUAGGGUGUUCAAAGCAAAAGUUUCUUUGGAAUAUAUUAGUAUGGGAUGAUAAGAUAGGCUCUAGAUGCUAUUUUGUUGGUUUGCGCAUUUAGAGAAUGAUUAACAGGGACAGUUGGGGGUAUUCGUAUUUACAUGUCAGAGGUGAAAUUCUUGGAUUUUGGAAAGACGAACUACUGCGAAAGCAUUUACCAAGGAUGUUUUCAUUAA